GACGGAGGAUGCAAGCGUUAUCCGGAAUGAUUGGGCGUAAAGCGUCCGCAGGUGGCAGUUCAAGUCUGCUGUCAAAGACCGGGGCUUAACUUCGGAAAGGCAGUGGAAACUGAACAGCUAGAGUAUGGUAGGGGCAGAGGGAAUUCCUGGUGUAGCGGUGAAAUGCGUAGAGAUCAGGAAGAACAUCGGUGGCGAAGGCGCUCUGCUGGACCAUAACUGACACUGAAGCGCGAAAGCCAGGGGAGCAAACGGG
rnacentral:rRNA from 1 species